AUAGCUACUCCAUAGACAGAACAGCAGCUAGUUGCCAAUUUUUAUGGUUAUUUCUUGAUGAAAUGCUAAAUAAGGGGUGCAUUAUUAAUGCCUCCCCUUUAUAGAACAUAUCGGGUAACUUCCUGAUGUUGCCAUGGCAUUUGUAAACUGUCAUGGCUCUGAGACGUAGCAGUGACAACAACCAGAGGUCACUCUUGUGGCCAUCUUGGUUUUCAUUGGCAUAAGUGGUUUCUUCACAGCACGCUGUUUUAUCAGCAAGGUCUUUAUGACCUGUAUCUUGUGCCAACCUCCUGUCUCAUCCUGUGACUUAGAAUACCUUACCUGUCUGCGAAUGCAGCCCGGUAGGUAUCAGCCUUGUUUCAUCCAGCUGCUAUUCAAGAUGGAGUUGCUCUGGUUCAAAAGCUUCUGAUCAAAAAAUACAAUUACAAGGCUAUACAGAUGAAGAGCUUGUGAUCCCAUUCCUAGUCACCUCAAAAGCCAGAUAUGUGUUCUACUUAGAACCUUUACCAGGAUAUAGAGUCUACACAGCUCUUUCCUCAGGUUUCUGUCUAUUUAAGAUUCUGGGGGCUCAUCUGAUUGGAAUAGUCAAGGCCAUAUGCUGGUGCCUACAUUUUAGAGUGAUUUAUUUCUGGACAUAAAGAAAAUGUGGUACUGAUACACGAUGGAGUACUACUUAGCCAUAAAAAAGAAUGAGAUCCUGUCAUUAGCAACAACAUGACUUUGGUUUUAAAUAAAUGUCUAUAGUCUGCUAUUACUAGAGUCUAG
rnacentral:lncRNA from 13 species